rnacentral:rRNA from 1 species
GUCCAUCCGGUAGCAAUACCGGUGAAGAUCAAGUGGCGAACGGGUGAGUAGCACGUGAGCAACCUGCCCCGAAGACCGGGACAACACCGGGAAACCGGUGCUAAUACCGGAUGUCCCCACCGAGUCGCAUGGCUUGGUGAGGAAAUGGAUUCCGCUUCGGGAGGGGCUCGCGGCCUAUCAGCUAGUUGGUGAGGUAACGGCUCACCAAGGCUUCGACGGGUAGCUGGUCUGAGAGGACGAUCAGCCACACUGGGACUGAGACACGGCCCAGACUCCUACGGGAGGCAGCAGUGGGGAAUCUUGCACAAUGGGCGAAAGCCUGAUGCAGCAACGCCGCGUGAGGGACGAAGGCUUUCUGAG